AUGAACGCUAGCGGAGGCUUAACACAUGCAAGUCGAGGGGCAACACGGGUAGCAAUACCUGGUGGCGACCGGCGCAAGGGUGCGUAACGCGUGAGCAACAUGCCCUAUACAGGGGGAUAAUCCAGGGAAACUUGGUCUAAUAUCCCAUAGUAUUUAGAGGUGGCAUCACCACUAAAUUAAAGCUUCGGUGGUAUAGGAUUGGCUCGCGUGACAUUAGCUGGAUGGUGGGGUAACGGCUCACCAUGGCGAUGAUGUCUAGGGGUUCUGAGAGGAAGACCCCCCACACUGGGACUGAGACACGGCCCAGACUCCUACGGGAGGCAGCAGUGAGGAAUAUUGGACAAUGGAUGGAAAUCUGAUCCAGCCAUGCCGCGUGCAGGAAGACGGCCCUAUGGGUUGUAAACUGCUUUUAUAUGGGAGCAAUAAGGUUUACGCGUAGACCGAUGAGAGUACCAUAUGAAUAAGCAUCGGCUAACUCCGUG
rnacentral:rRNA from 1 species